rnacentral:rRNA from 1 species
CCUACGGGAGGCAGCAGUGGGGAAUUUUGCCCAAUGGGCGCAAUCCUGAAGCAGCAACGCCGCGUGAACGAAGAAGGCCUUCGGGUCGUAAAGUUCUUUUCUUAGGGAAGAAAAAUGACGGUACCUACGGAAUAAGCACCGGCUAACUACGUGCCAGCAGCCGCGGUAAU